rnacentral:rRNA from 1 species
UACGUAGGGUGCAAGCGUUGUCCGGAAUUACUGGGCGUAAAGCGUGCGCAGGCGGUUUUGUAAGUCUGAUGUGAAAUCCCCGGGCUCAACCUGGGAAUGGCAUUUGGGACUGCAAGGCUGGAGUACGGCAGAGGAGACUGGAAUUCCUGGUGUAGCAGUGAAAUGCGUAGAUAUCAGGAGGAAUACCGAUGGCGAAGGCAGGUCUCUGGGCUGAUACUGACGCUCAUGCACGAAAGCGUGGGGAGCAAACAGG